AAUGUCCUGGUGCUAUAGCUUGCAUUCUGUAAGACAGUCUCCUAGAGUAGAACCUGUUUCUAAUCUACAGAGAAUACGUAUUUGAAAUGAUUAAAGUUAACUUAAUUUGUGUCAUUUUCCUUUGAAUUCUCAUUGACUCUGGAUAUGAAAUUUUUCUUAUGAUGUUGUCAGGGAAAGAUAAUUGCAUUUGGACUUUCUGUCCCUCCAAGCAGAGGGAGAACCUGCUCUCCAAGUACUUGUUUUAUCAUGUGUCCUCUUUUGUUUAUGCCUACUAAUUUUUUUAAAGUUGAUAUUCUGGUCAAGCAUACAAAAUUUUACUGUGUAUAUUUGGUGCUUUUGAAUGCUCUAGAUACCAAGUGUAUUUUGAAAUUAGUUUAUCUUAAGUUCUUCAUUACUGUCUGGCCAAAUUAAAGGGUUUCCUUUUUCUUUACAACAAUUAUAUAGAAAUGGCUUUUAAUCAAGUUGGUCUAUACUAUCGUAAUAGGUUAUGGAUGGAUUGUUUUUUUUUCUUUUAAAACUUGUACCAUAUGCUAAAUAAUUCAUCUCAUCUGUUGAUGAAUGUAAAAAAUAUUCUAUCACUUCUAGGAAAGAUAACAGAGUAAGGCAUAGUUAUUAAUAUAUUGAAUGGCAAAUAUUUGUUGUGUUUGAAUAGCUUUAAGGAAUAGAACUUCUGCUCAUUUCCUGACAUAAAAAGACUUUGAUUCUGUGUCAUUAACAAAAACUUAGGUAGCCUAUUGAUUCUCAAGAAUGGUAGCUGGAAAAGAAACAAAAACAGUGAUAUGCUGUUUUAAAUGUUAAAGAAAUACUCUAUGCUACAUCUUUUGUGUUUAUGUAAAAUAUGUUUACAAUGUAAAUAGGAUUGAAUUUGUGGGUUAAAAUUUUAUAAAAAUAAUCUACAUGCCUUUAUUUCUCUUUUAAAUACACACCUUACGUGAUGUGGGACGUGAAGGAACUAUACAGAUGGUGGUCUCAAACUAAGUAGAGUACCAGUCACUAAUAUAUCAGAUUCAUUGCUUUGCACUGCGCCUCUUUGUUUCACACUAGGUGUACACGUUCAUCUCUUCAGUAAAAACAGUGUGCCUACUGACGAAUGAGCAUAUUGCAUGUGUCUCUCUUAGUACUGUGAGGAGGUCAUAUGAGUAUGUGUGCUUCCAUCUUGGUUACUUAACACCUUUGGGGUAGUUAUAUGAGAAAAUUGGCUCAUGUUGCCUUGUGAAUAACUCUUUGUCCUUUAGUGUUUCAGGGAACCUUUUCUCUCCUAUAAACUAAUGUUAACAAUUUUAGUAAUAAAAGUGAUAAAAAUUCCUAUAGCAAGUUUACAAUUAUCACUUGUUACACAUGUUUCCUUUUAUGAACAAAGUAGCCAUUAAAUCUAAUAUUUGUCUGAAGGUCUGAUAAACCUAGUCUCAUAAAAAGUAGUGACAGAAUGAGCUAAGAAUUGUAUCCAAGUGAAUGCUUUUAUUAAUUAAGGCAAAAUUUUGAUGUCUUGUGGAAAAAAAGUGUGUCAUAAAUAAGGAAUUCUGUCUUUUAAAAAUCCAGUGUUAGGGAUAUACAUUACAAAACAACUAGAACUUCCCAUUUUUUCACCAUGUGUAGAAUGAAGUCAGGCCAGAUGUUCUAAAGACCCACACAUUCUUUCCCUUUCAUAUAAAAUAAGCCUAAGAAAUGGUAUUGAAACUUUUGGAAGAAGAUACUGCAUAAGUGAGCAUAGAUGCACUAAGCUAAGGUUAACGAGUAUAAGUGAAAUUAAAAUUUAGAAAUGCUUUUUGAAAACUAGUGUGGCAGAAUGAUAUGCUACUCUACUUUAUCAGUAUUAGCAAUAUAAAACAUCUUAAUCUAGACUUUGAAGCCAGAAUAAGUUUUAUGUAUUUAAGGAUCUCAAAAAAU
rnacentral:lncRNA from 1 species